GGUAAAAUGGCUGACCUAAAGCAAUAAACUGUAAAUUUAUGCAUGAAAUGAUUAUUUCUUUUACCA
rnacentral:tRNA from 1 species